AAUCGGAAUACAAGAAGAAGAGGUCAGAAAGCAAAAAUAGAUACAAGGAACAAAAUAUCGAUUACUUACAUUUUCAGAUGAUAGAUUCUUCAGUCUUCCUAUAACUAAGCUCCUAGGUUCCAAUUAUCUCGAUGUAAUCUUCUUCUUCUUCUAUAAUGAUUUGAUUUUGAUCUGUAUUUAUCUUGUUGAAAGAUUAAUCAUAUCAAUAGAUAGUAGAAAACAAAAAAAUUCUCAUUUUUUUUUUUUUUGCCGGCAACAAAAAAAUUCUCAUUAUAAAGUCAAAAUUCUAUUUUAUACGGUAAAUGAUAAGCAACAUGCUGCAAAACUUUGUCCAAAAUUAUCUUUAAUACCUUU
rnacentral:lncRNA from 1 species